GAUGAACGCUAGCGGCAGGCCUAAUACAUGCAAGUCGAGGGGCAGCGCGGUAGCAAUACUGGCGGCGACCGGCGCACGGGUGCGUAACACGUAUGCAACCUACCUUCAACUGGAGGAUAGCCCGGGGAAACUCGGAUUAAUACUCCAUAACACAGGGAUCCCGCAUGGGAAUAUUGUUAAAGCUACGGCGGUUGAAGAUGGGCAUGCGUUCGAUUAGCUAGUUGGUGUAGGUAACGGCUCACCAAGGCUACGAUCGAUAGGGGGUCUGAGAGGAUGAUCCCCCACACUGGUACUGAGAUACGGACCAGACUCCUACGGGAGGCAGCAGUAGGGAAUAUUGGUCAAUGGGCGCAAGCCUGAACCAGCCAUGCCGCGUGCAGGAAGAAGGGCCCCUCUGGGUUGUAAACUGCUUUUGAUAGGGAACAAAUGCCACUUGCGAGUGGAGCUGAGUGUACCUAUAGAAUAAGCACCGGCUAACUCCGUGCCAGCAGCCGCGGUAA
rnacentral:rRNA from 1 species